UGUAGCCAUCUUCUUAUGAUCAUACAAAAUAGUUAAGCAGCAUGCCGUUUCUUUUGUAUCUUCUUGCGCAGAUUUUUAACAGGCGGAGUAUUGUUGCUUCGAGUGUGUCUCCGGUUCAAUGUCACAUGACACCAUCGCUCCGCCAGGCGAUCCGGUAUGAGGGAGCGCCAUGGGAGAACCUAGCCCGUAGCCUAACCAUGGCGGCGGCCGGCAGGGGAGCUUGUCCCGGCGAUCCAGCAUCCCGGCGUGGAGGCGCCUCCGGCGAGCACCCUGACCCACGUGAGAAGGCCACAGUGGAAGCGUCUUGUCUGGUCGAGCAGCCAUGGUUCUGAUUGUUCAUGUUGAUUUUGAGUUGGGGUAGCAGGGGAAUUCACACUGUAGUGGAGUGAAAUUCAGAAGGACAUAGCAGAGGAUGUCCUGGAAGAAUACCAAAAAGGUUGCGGCCGAGAGACAAUGUUGGGAACAUAGGAUGUCUGGAUGCUGAUGUAGAGGCUUCUCAUUCUGUUCAUUUGUGUUGUGUCGUUCCUUGCCAGAAUUCUAUACAUGUGUAUGGUAGCUAAUUCUGCUGGCUGAAUUUUAACCAUGUCUAUCCGCACAUGCUUUCUAUGUCGGAAGUGGCAUGUGAACUUCUGUGAGCAUAUUCCUUUUAAUUGGUUGAGAAAAUUGUACUUUGCGUUAAACUAGGUUUGUUUCUGAAUUUGACUCUAUUGAUGAGCUCCAUGAUCUAUCAUAAAGUGUUGCCAGAAGAUGCCUGUAAUCUUGGUAGAAAGAAUGGUAUCCUGAAGAUGCCUGUAAUCUUGGUAGAAAGAAUGGUAUCCUGAAGAUGCCUGUAAUCUUGGUAGAAAGAAUGGCAUCCUGAAUUUCUGA